AAAGUCUCAUAUUCCACUAACUUGUGACAAAGAAUAAAAUCUCACAUGAACUUACCAUACCCCUCACGGAAUCCAAAUGUGUAAAAUUUUUUGGACAUUUGUAUUCCAGACUUCUUCUCGCGCUUUGGGGCCCCUGAAAUGCCGGGGCGGUAUAUGCCCCACAUGCGACCCCAUUUUGGAGAGAGGACACCCCGGGGCGUUUCGUGAUGGGCAUGGUCAGUGCAUGGAGGUUUUUAUUUUUUGUCACAAGUUAGUGGAAUAUGAGACUUUGUUAGAAAAAAAA